GAACACCAGCAGCAGGGUGUUAGCUCCGUGUCAUCAGGGACCAGAACUCCAGCAGCAUGGUGUUAGCUCCGUGUCAUCAGGGACCAGAACACCAGCAGCAGGGUGUUAGCUCCGUGUCAUCAGGGACCAGAACACCAGCAGCAGGGUGUGUAGCUCCGUGUCAUCAGGGACGCAAACACCAGCAGCCGGGUGUUAGCUCCGUGUCAUCAGGGACCAGAACACAUCACAGGGUUUUCCGUGUCUCAGGGACCAGACACCAGCAACAGUGUGUUAGCUCCG
rnacentral:lncRNA from 1 species